rnacentral:rRNA from 1 species
UACGAAGGGGGCUAGCGUUGCUCGGAAUCACUGGGCGUAAAGGGUGCGUAGGCGGGUCUUUAAGUCAGGGGUGAAAUCCUGGAGCUCAACUCCAGAACUGCCUUUGAUACUGAAGAUCUUGAGUCCGGGAGAGGUGAGUGGAAUCCCCAGUGUAGCGGUGAAAUGCGUAGAUAUUGGGAGGAACACCAGUGGCGAAGGCGGCUCACUGGACCGGAACUGACGCUGAGGCGCGAAAGCGUGGGGAGCAAACGGG